UACGAAGGGGGCUAGCGUUGUUCGGAUUUACUGGGCGUAAAGCGCACGUAGGCGGAUUUUUAAGUCAGGGGUGAAAUCCCGGGGCUCAACCCCGGAACUGCCUUUGAUACUGGAAGUCUUGAGUAUGGUAGAGGUGAGUGGAAUUCCGAGUGUAGAGGUGAAAUUCGUAGAUAUUCGGAGGAACACCAGUGGCGAAGGCGGCUCACUGGACCAUUACUGACGCUGAGGUGCGAAAGCGUGGGGAGCAAAACAGG
rnacentral:rRNA from 1 species